GCCGCACGGCGUACCCGGAGCGGGGUAAGGUGGAACUGAGAGCGAGGCCAGCCCCGUGGAGCCGCCGGUGUCUCUCUGCCUCCCCCGCCGGGGCCGGCGAUGGGAGCGGACCACGCCAUGUCCCUGCCCCGGAACGCGAGCGGGACGCAGCCACCGCGCCUCAGGAGGGGCCGGGGCCGCCCCUGCCUUCAGAGCCGCCCUCACCGCCCGCUUCGGCCCUCCCCGGGGCCGGCCCCGGCAGCUGGGGAGCUCCCGAGCCCUGCCCCGGGACCGGGGGGCGUUGGAGGAGGCUCCGGGUGCUGACGGCACCGCGGGCGACAGCUCGGGCCGCCGCUGCAAUUCCUGGAUCUGUGCUGAUUUCCGUCAAUUUUCUUUUUUAAUUAUUUUUUAUUUUUCCCCUUCCCGUUUGGUUUUACAACCAGUGUUUUAAUCUCUGCGUGCUGUAGGCAACUCCGAGAGAGCCCUUUCGGGCUUUUUCUACAAUGUUUUGCAUCCUAGCAUAAGGCGCGUGACCUAAUGACAUAAAUGGCUCAGGAGAAAAUUAGAAAACAAAAAGAAGAAACGCUCAUCAAAUAAAGAUUUUUAAUAUUUUUAAUGCCCAGCAACGAAGAAAGAUGACAAUUUGAAACCUGAUAAAAUAAUGCGGAGCACAUAAAGUUGGUUGAAAAGGUACUUGUGAGUCUGUCAGCAGUAUUUUUUUUCCUCCUGCUUUAACACCCUGCAAGAAAUACAACAUACUAGGGGGCAGCAAGAGUAUGACUGCUCAUUAUGGGAACAGAAGCUAAGAGAGAUCCCCUGCCACAGAACAAGAACCUCAGGACCCCAUUUUACAUUACCUUAGCAACAUAAGCAGAACAAACCUGAGACAACAACUGGAACCAAUCAAGAGCCCAUAUUAUAGGACAAUAUCAUGCUGAUGAGACAGGUACAAAGCCAAGCUAAGAAAAAGUCAAGCCAAAGGAGAAAUCCCAGCUGCCAGGGGACUGCCACACUCUAACAGCACUGGAACUUCCAGAAGCCCUUGACAUCAUUUGUCUGUUUCAACCUCAGACUUAUGGAUGAAAAAGCACUGCGUAACCGAUAAAUUCUGUCCUAUGGAACCUUGAUGGAACAAAUAUGGCUAAUUAUGCUCCUUUUCCUGCAAUACAUUGGUGGAAUGUUAUGGCAGCAUGACCUGUGUUAUAACCCUCUGAGAAAAUCAACUGCUUGGAGAAAGAUAAACAGCAGUUAAAAGAAAUCAAGUGGUGAUAACAAGCUCAAAAACUGGUGUUUUUUGUUAUAAGUCUUCAUACCAAGAGAUGACACAGCGUGACACCACUGUGUGAUGACAGGACAUCAAGAAGAAAAGGAAAAGCAGUGCUGCUGCUGUCUUCUCAAGGAUAUCAAAAUGCCUGUCAGCACCUGGAUGAAAAUCAGCUGACUCAGAUUCAAUCUGGCUGAGAUGAAAAUGAUGAUGGCUGGAGUGGGGAAAAUGUUUAAAACCGGGGUAACAUCUUUAUCUGUGACAAUAUCAUCGGACGCUCAUCUAUCUAAAUGUUAACAGUGCCUCACGUUUUGUUUUGUUUUGGAUUUUUUGUCAUUGUCUGAGUCAUCAUGAUGGUUGAUUGCAAAAGUACCCUUUUCUUUUCCCAAGCCUAACUCUUGGUCGUGCAGAUCUGGCCAUUGCAAUCUACUUCCUCUUCCCUGCCAGAAUGAAUUACCAGGAACUCCCUGAACCUCUAGGUGAGGUGCCUAAAGAAUUAAGAGAUUCCAGCUGUAGCAAAAUGUGGCAGUCCUCCUCAACAGUAGUGGCAUCACUGCCCCCAAUGGUUUGCAGGUUAUUUCCUCACCAUGUUUGUCUUGUUUCUGUUCUUCAAACCAAUAAAGACCCGGCUUCCUCAGA